rnacentral:rRNA from 1 species
UACGUAGGGUGCAAGCGUUAAUCGGAAUUACUGGGCGUAAAGCGUGCGCAGGCGGUUUUGUAAGUCUGACGUGAAAUCCCCGGGCUCAACCUGGGAAUUGCGUUGGAGACUGCAAGGCUGGAGUCUGGCAGAGGGGGGUGGAAUUCCACGUGUAGCAGUGAAAUGCGUAGAGAUGUGGAGGAACACCGAUGGCGAAAGCAGCCCCCUGGGCCAAGACUGACGCUCAUGCACGAAAGCGUGGGGAGCAAACAGG